CGAGCCCUCAUUUUCCCACUGGCUCCUCAUCCCACUGAGGGUCCUGGCUUCUCUGCAGCACAGCUGCAUCCUCUGUUCCCUGUGGCCAGCCUGGACAUCAUCCCUGGCUUUCUUCCAGCCUUUUCCUCCCCCAUCUCUGCCCGCAGAAGUUUGAACAGGGCUUCAUCACGGACCCCGUGGUGCUGAGCCCCUCGCACACUGUGGGCGAUGUGCUGGAGGCCAAGAUGCGGCAUGGCUUCUCUGGCAUCCCCAUCACUGAGACGGGCACCAUGGGCAGCAAGCUGGUGGGCAUCGUCACCUCCCGAGACAUCGACUUUCUUGCUGAGAAGGACCACACCACCCUCCUCAGUGAGGCAAAUGUUCCUGGCCCCACAGGUGAUGACGCCAAGGAUUGAACUGGUGGUGGCUCCAGCAGGUGUGACGUUGAAAGAGGCAAAUGAGAUCCUGCAGCGUAGCAAGAAAGGGAAGCUGCCUAUCGUCAAUGAUCGCGAUGAGCUGGUGGCCAUCAUCGCCCGCACCGACCUGAAGAAGAACCGAGACUACCCUCUGGCCUCCAAGGAUUCCCAGAAGCAGCUGCUCUGUGGGGC
rnacentral:sRNA from 1 species